AGAGAUGUCUGGGCCUUGACCAAUGAGAUCUUCAGGAGUACUUCACCAGCUGUUUCGGAUUUUUCUCUGUGGAUGUCCUCAUGGGACUAAGUGGAAAUUGGAAAAGUAUCAUCAAACUCUUCUUGAGAUUCCUUUUUGAUAAGGAAGAUUGCAGAAAAAUUUGUGGCUGAAGAGGAUGCACUGAGAAGAAAGAUAACUGCCCUUAUUCUAAAUCCCAGUCUUCAAUCAAGUACUAAGAUGGUCUGCACUUUGCCUGUGGCGAUUUCCUUAGGUAGCUGGAGAGGAAACCGCGGUGGUGGUGGUGACCCACAGACUGCGCCUGCUGGGAAAAUGCACUGACCAGUCAUCAGCAAAUUCUAGCCCAUUCAGUGGGUUGAAAAGCUACUGACCAGGAAGGUCAUUUCCAGCAUUUCCCAUAGCUUCAAGAUUACUAGCACAGACACACAAGCUGGGCAAUCUUGUUCCACAUUCCACCUGAAUGAUAGGUAUGCUAGAUAAUCUUAACAGCAGAAAAGGCUAAUUUUAUAUUGUCAAUCAUAACAAAGUUAGAUCCCCACAACUCA
rnacentral:antisense_RNA from 1 species